rnacentral:rRNA from 1 species
AGCGGCGGACGGGUGAGUAAUGCCUGGGAAAUUGCCCUGAUGUGGGGGAUAACCAUUGGAAACGAUGGCUAAUACCGCAUAAUAGCUUCGGCUCAAAGAGGGGGACCUUCGGGCCUCUCGCGUCAGGAUAUGCCCAGGUGGGAUUAGCUAGUUGGUGAGGUAAUGGCUCACCAAGGCGACGAUCCCUAGCUGGUCUGAGAGGAUGAUCAGCCACACUGGAACUGAGACACGGUCCAGACUCCUACGGGAGGCAGCAGUGGGGAAUAUUGCACAAUGGGCGCAAGCCUGAUGCAGCCAUGCCGCGUGUAUGAAGAAGGCCUUCGGGUUGUAAAGUACUUUCAGCAGUGAGGAAGGUGGAUAUGUUAAUAGCAUAUUCAUUUGACGUUAGCUGCAGAAGAAGCACCGGCUAACUCCGUGCCAGCAGCCGCGGUAAUACGGAGGGUGCGAGCGUUAAUCGGAAUUACUGGGCGUAAAGCGCAUGCAGGUGGUUUGUUAAGUCAGAUGUGAAAGCCCGGGGCUCAACCUCGGAAUUGCAUUUGAAACUGGCAAA